rnacentral:rRNA from 1 species
CCUACGGGAGGCUGCAGUGGGGAAUAUUGCACAAUGGCGGGAACUCUGAUGCAGCGACGCCGCGUGAGUGAAGAAGUAAUUCGUUAUGUAAAGCUCUAUCAGCAGGGAAGAAAGUGACGGUACCUGAAAAAGAAGCUCCGGCUAAAUACGUGCCAACAGCCGCGGUAAUACGUAUGGGGCACGCGUUAUCCGGAUUUACUGGGUGUAAAGGGAGAGUAGGUGGCAGAGCAAGUCCGAAGUGAAAACCCAAAGCCAAAGUAGGGGAAUGCUUUAGAAACUGCUCAGCUAGAGUGCGGGAGAGGCAAGAGGAAUGUGUGGUGUAGCGGUGAAAUGCGUAGAUAUUAGGAGGAACACCAGUGGCGAAGGCGGCUUGCGGGACUGUAACUGACACUGAGGCUCGAAAGCGUGGGGAGCAAACAGGAUUAGAUACCCGGGUAGUC